GGUUAAGCGACUAAGCGUACACGGUGGAUGCCCUGGCAGUCAGAGGCGAUGAAGGACGUGCUAAUCUGCGAUAAGCGUCGGUAAGGUGAUAUGAACCAUUAUAACCGGCGAUUUCCGAAUGGGGAAACCCAGUGUGUUUCGACACACUAUCAUUAACUGAAUCCAUAGGUUAAUGAGGCGAACCGGGGGAACUGAAACAUCUAAGUACCCCGAGGAAAAGAAAUCAACCGAGAUUCCCCCAGUAGCGGCGAGCGAACGGGGAGCAGCCCAGAGCCUGAAUCAGUGUGUGUGUUAGUGGAAGCGUCUGGAAAGGCGCGCGAUACAGGGUGACAGCCCCGUACACAAAAAUGCACAUGCUGUGAGCUCGAUGAGUAGGGCGGGACACGUGGUAUCCUGUCUGAAUAUGGGGGGACCAUCCUCCAAGGCUAAAUACUCCUGACUGACCGAUAGUGAACCAGUACCGUGAGGGAAAGGCGAAAAGAACCCCGGCGAGGGGAGUGAAAAAGAACCUGAAACCGUGUACGUACAAGCAGUGGGAGCACGCUUAGGCGUGUGACUGCGUACCUUUUGUAUAAUGGGUCAGCGACUUAUAUUCUGUAGCAAGGUUAACCGAAUAGGGGAGCCGAAGGGAAACCGAGUCUUAACUGGGCGUUAAGUUGCAGGGUAUAGACCCGAAACCCGGUGAUCUAGCCAUGGGCAGGUUGAAGGUUGGGUAACACUAACUGGAGGACCGAACCGACUAAUGUUGAAAAAUUAGCGGAUGACUUGUGGCUGGGGGUGAAAGGCCAAUCAAACCGGGAGAUAGCUGGUUCUCCCCGAAAGCUAUUUAGGUAGCGCCUCGUGAAUUCAUCUCCGGGGGUAGAGCACUGUUUCGGCAAGGGGGUCAUCCCGACUUACCAACCCGAUGCAAACUGCGAAUACCGGAGAAUGUUAUCACGGGAGACACACGGCGGGUGCUAACGUCCGUCGUGAAGAGGGAAACAACCCAGACCGCCAGCUAAGGUCCCAAAGUCAUGGUUAAGUGGGAAACGAUGUGGGAAGGCCCAGACAGCCAGGAUGUUGGCUUAGAAGCAGCCAUCAUUUAAAGAAAGCGUAAUAGCUCACUGGUCGAGUCGGCCUGCGCGGAAGAUGUAACGGGGCUAAACCAUGCACCGAAGCUGCGGCAGCGACGCUUAUGCGUUGUUGGGUAGGGGAGCGUUCUGUAAGCCUGCGAAGGUGUGCUGUGAGGCAUGCUGGAGGUAUCAGAAGUGCGAAUGCUGACAUAAGUAACGAUAAAGCGGGUGAAAAGCCCGCUCGCCGGAAGACCAAGGGUUCCUGUCCAACGUUAAUCGGGGCAGGGUGAGUCGACCCCUAAGGCGAGGCCGAAAGGCGUAGUCGAUGGGAAACAGGUUAAUAUUCCUGUACUUGGUGUUACUGCGAAGGGGGGACGGAGAAGGCUAUGUUGGCCGGGCGACGGUUGUCCCGGUUUAAGCGUGUAGGCUGGUUUUCCAGGCAAAUCCGGAAAAUCAAGGCUGAGGCGUGAUGACGAGGCACUACGGUGCUGAAGCAACAAAUGCCCUGCUUCCAGGAAAAGCCUCUAAGCAUCAGGUAACAUCAAAUCGUACCCCAAACCGACACAGGUGGUCAGGUAGAGAAUACCAAGGCGCUUGAGAGAACUCGGGUGAAGGAACUAGGCAAAAUGGUGCCGUAACUUCGGGAGAAGGCACGCUGAUAUGUAGGUGAAGUCCCUCGCGGAUGGAGCUGAAAUCAGUCGAAGAUACCAGCUGGCUGCAACUGUUUAUUAAAAACACAGCACUGUGCAAACACGAAAGUGGACGUAUACGGUGUGACGCCUGCCCGGUGCCGGAAGGUUAAUUGAUGGGGU
rnacentral:rRNA from 1 species